UGUAAGUAGGCGGGGCUUAUAGGUUAGUUGAGGUCAUUGACAUAUAAAGCUAACGUUUAUACGUAUAGCUUUAUCUGUAUAGUAAAAUAGCUGAUUGCAGUAUAAAUACAAGUGAACGUAUUAGGAUACACGACACAAAAAGAUAUCUAAAUACUGCAGUGUUGUAUUAAGAAUUAUAGUACUUGUAAUCUGUGCGAAUCUAAGGUAUGUUCAUUGAAUACAUAUAUUUAUAAAAAAGAUUUUUUGACCGUUACAAUUUAGAAGGUCUGUCCAAAUUAUUUUUGCAAAGAAUUCCGCUCAAACUGGGGCUAGGGGUCGUAUUAAACUUGCAGUAAGUGUUUUUUUCUCCGUGUUGAAGGCCUCACUGACUUUAGAUGAAGAACAGCAAUAAAAGCCCUGUUCCUUUGCUUUGUAUGUGCCUUUUUUUGCUGAGCAUGUAUUGUAUUUGUCGGCGUUUUGCAUUUGCGCCGAUCUGAGCAUGUAUUGUAUUUGUCGGCGUUUUGCAUUUGCGCCGAUCUGCAUUUCAUUUGCGCCGAUUUUUUUUCCAGGUAAAUUACAGGUGAAUGCUAUUUUUCAUGUAUCAUCAUUAACCACUUCCGUUAGCAAUUGUACAAAUGUUAUGAAUUGUCAGUCAAUUCGGAUAGCGAUUUACCAAUGUCACUUAAUAAAAAAGAAGAUGUGGUAUGAUUGCCAAUGGGACAACUCUCCACAAAAGACCAAAAUGACACAGAAAUUAACAAUUAUAGGUAACCGUAUGGCCUUCAACAAUGAGUAAAGCCCAUACCGCAUAGUCAGCUUUAAAAGGCCCGAAAUGACAAUGUAAAACAAUUCAAACGAGAAAACUAACUGCCUUAUGUAUAUAAAAAAAAAUGUCUGUAUACUCUGUGCUCAGCCCAACAGACUGGAUUUUCCUCCACCAGUUGUGAGCCAUAAUUUCAACAAUUAUACUUCAUAACACUUUUGCUUGGAAGAGGGCGUAAAUAAGAGGUUUGCAGUUUUCAAUUUUACAUCCGUGUAAAGUAAAUAACUGAUAUCCUAAAAGUAUUUCGGACAGCACUUAAAAAGUUUUAUCUAUAAAUAUUGGAGAUAUAUCAUUGCAAAGACAUUGGAGAUUGAGUUGUGUUGAAAAAAUAAGUAUACGUUUCUCGCUUGCACUGAUCUUUCGAUAUGUAUGCCCAGUAUUUAUUCAUCUAUGUAAAACUGUAAAUGCAAUUAGGAGCAAUUAUAAAAUCGGCGCAAAAGAAAAAUUGAAAUCGGCGCAAAUGAAAGAAUGAAAAUUUUAAAUAUCGGCGCAAAUGUCAUACGCCCGUAUUUGCGCAUGGAUAAAUACCAUAUCCGUUGUUUUUUUCUAGUAUGUUGUAAUCAUUCUGUAUGCUUAUGAGAUCUUAAUAUGAUAGAUUUUGCAGACUGAGUCUUAUUUUAAUACUCGUAAGGACUCGCAUCACAUUGAUCAGUGAGUAUUUUAAUAGGAUGCUGCUGUAUUUGAGUUUGAAAAAUUAUGUAUGUUACACAAAAGAAUCUCAAACUCAUUUUUAAUCAUUAAAGUUGACAUUUUCUUAGUCCAAUACUAUUUUGAAUUACUGAUACACUAAAAUAGUCGAGUUUUGUAAAACCAAAUAGACCGAGCAUCAAUCGACGGGUGCCACAUGUGGAGCAGGAUUAGCUUACCUUUCCGGAGCACAUGAGAUCACCCCUAGUGGGGAUUGUGUUGCUUAGGCAUUAGUUUUCUAUAUCGUGUUUUGUGUACCGUUGUUUGUCUGUUUGUAUUUUUCCUUUUUUUGCCCUAUAUGUAAUACAUAUUUCGUACUUCGUAUAAUUGUAUACACAUUUAGGCAAGUUGAUUAAAUGAUAUACAACCAUUCCCGAUGGACUAAACAGAGCUCCAAAACAAUAGAUACUAGUAAUCAUAUCAAAUUUCCUUGAUAUAUUACGAAAAAUACACAUAUAUUAUAUAUUUUGCCCCCCCCCCACCCAAUAAAAAAAACCCCCAAAAAUAAGAGAAAAAAUAAGCCUGUCAACAUAAUGCAAGGUCGAAAACGCACGUCGAAAGAAUACACACAACUACAAAACAAUAGUAAUAUUUUAUAGUUAUUCUGGUGUAUGACCGACAAAAACUUUUUACAUGAGGAAUUCUCUGUUGUGAUUGAUAUUAUUAUUUAAUGUUUCAUUUCUUUCUUCUUUUUUUUUAUCUUUUUGUAGAAAUGCAGAAACUGUAUGUUGCGUGUAUUGUUCUUUUGGUCGCCAACAUGUCCAAUCUGUCUUACGGAGUAUCCACGACGGUGCUUGAAAUGUUUCCAGAAUUCAACGACCUUUUACAGAAAAAUAUAAAAUCCGAAAGAGAAAUUCGGUCAUUGAAGAAUGAUGUGUCCCGUCUACGACAGGAGAUGAACACUUUCAAAACCCAGACAGGAAAUGCUAUUAAGAAUUUAUUAAGCCUUCAUGGACUAUAAAGUUAAUCAAUGAUUGUUUUACAAUUUACAAACCCGUUUAUACGAAUCUUUUAUGGUAAUUGUAUUUAUAUUUAUAUUCUGGAAAUGUUUAUAAUUGUAUCAUGUUGAUACAUGUAAAACUUAGAGUAUAAUCUUUUAUAGUAAACAGAUGUAAUCUUUUCUGUACUUUGGCAUUAAAUUUUUGUUAGACUCAGUGCGUUUGUUGCAAUGCCAAUAUGCAAACAAGAAUGUGUAUAGUAUACGGAUGCCCAUCUCGCACUAUCAUAUUCUAUGUUCAGUGGACCGUGAAAUUGGG
rnacentral:lncRNA from 1 species